UACGAGGGGGGCGAGCGUUGUUCGGAAUUAUUGGGCGUAAAGGGUGCGUAGGCGGUUUGGUAAGUCUUAUGUGAAAUCUACAGGCUCAACUUGUAGUCUGCAUGAGAAACUGCCGGGCUUGAGUGUGGGAGAGGUGAGUGGAAUUCCUGGUGUAGCGGUGAAAUGCGUAGAUAUCAGGAGGAACACCUGUGGUGUAGACAGCUUACUGGACCAUUUCUGACGCUGAGACACGAAAGCGUGGGUAGCAAACAGG
rnacentral:rRNA from 1 species